AUUGAACGCUGGCGGCAGGCCUAACACAUGCCAGUCGAACGGUAACAGGAAGCAGCUUGCUGCUUUGCUGACGAGUGGCGGACGGGUGAGUAAUGUCUGGGAAACUGCCCGAUGGAGGGGGAUAACUACUGGAAACGGUAGCUAAUACCGCAUAACGUCGCAAGACCAAAGAGGGGGACCUUAGGGCCUCUUGCCAUCGGAUGUGCCCAGAUGGGAUUAGCUAGUAGGUGGGGUAACGGCUCACCUAGGCGACGAUCCCUAGCUGGUCUAAGAGGAUGACCAGCCACACUGGAACUGAGACACGGUCCAGACUCCUACGGGAGGCAGCAGUGGGGAAUAUUGCACAAUGGGCGCAAGCCUGAUGCAGCCAUGCCGCGUGUAUGAAGAAGGCCUUCGGGUUGUAAAGUACUUUCAGCGGGGAGGAAGGGAGUAAAGUUAAUACCUUUGCUCAUUGACGUUACCCGCAGAAGAAGCACCGGCUAACUCCGUG
rnacentral:rRNA from 1 species